CUCGUGUUUCCCCUUUUCAACCUCCAUAAAAUCCCAUCAUUCCCCUUCUCAUUUCUCUCACUCCCACACUUUCUUACAACAACCACCAUUUCAAUCUCUCUCUCAAAAUUCUCCCAAAUUUUCCAUCCUCCCCAAAGGUGUGUGGUCAGAUUCAGAUUGGUCGCAUGCAUGGACCAACCAAGCCAACCGCCAUGGCCGUCGUCUCUUCUUCACGAAAUCAAGAAAUUAACACCAACAAUUUCCGGUGGGUUAGUUUUCAUUAUUGGCAUCUCCUUUUGGGAGAUAUAGUCACUGAUUCUUACUAGCCAUGGCGCUAUCCUAACUGAGCUUUUUCCUAUUUUUCGUUCUUCAACGUUCUUUCUUAUUUAUUUUUUUUUUUUUUAGUUUUGAAAUGGAGUCUUCUUGACCUUGUAAGACCUUUUCUUGACCUUGUAAGACCCAACACCGUAGCCUUUCCCUUUACCAUCCAUUUGAUUUCAUACUCUAUAUUGGGAAAUACCCAUAUGGAGUUUGAGUACAAUCUAUCCCUAUUUCCACCCAACUCAUCUUCUCCUUCCUUGUCUAUCCCUCUUGAGCUGCAUUUUAUCAAUUAAUUACCUGGGCCGUUUUCAUAUAUAGCAAAAUGGCCAACUUAUUUAUAAUUUUUGUAAAAUGGCAAAAAAUUUCCUCAUCUUUUAAUAAUAAUAAUAAAUUUAAUUAAGUCCCACCACGCCGGCCGAAGAAGGUUGAAGAAGACGAAGAAGAGCAAGCAAAGUGCAGGGCGAUUGAGUGAAGAAGAAGAUUUGUUCUCUUUUGGCUGUGGGGACUUGGAGUUUUUUUUUUAUACAUUUUUAUUUAAUUUUUGUAAAAAUAAAAAAGGGGAAAAAAAGAGGUAUUAUUAUUAUUAUUAUUUAGUAAUUGUUUGUAAGUUUUAAAUUCCGUUGAAAAGAAAAAAAGAAUGAAAUUGAAAUGUAGUGCACAGAAAUAUGGUGUGAGCAGGAAGUAUCAGAUCAGUUUUUUGGUUUGGUUUU